rnacentral:rRNA from 1 species
UACGGGGGGGGCAAGCGUUGUUCGGAAUUACUGGGCGUAAAGGGCGCGUAGGCGGCCUUCUAAGUCGGACGUGAAAUCCCUCGGCUUAACCGGGGAACUGCGUCUGAUACUGGAUGGCUUGAGGUUGGGAGAGGGAUGCGGAAUUCCUGGUGUAGCGGUGAAAUGCGCAGAUAUCAGGAGGAGCACCGGUGGCGAAGGCGGAUCUCUGGGCCAUUACUGACGCUGAGGAGCGAAAGCGUGGGGAGCGAACAGG